UUUCGCAUCCUGGAUGUUGAUGUUGAUUUUUUUUUUUGCUAUAGGUUCAGUCAAAGUUUAUAAAAUUUGACUAUCAGUAAAAAAUAUGUUGAAGCGAAGGAGUAUGUGCAGAAGACAGGAAAGCAGUAAUUCUUAGCUAGGAUUAACCAUUAAUUACUGGAUGGUGUACGUGGUAAAAUUGAGGAUUUAAGGUGGGUGGGGGUCUCACACUCAGCAUUAGUAGCAAGCAAGCAAGCACGAUCUUAGCUUACCCUUGUCCACUUAUGAUAUGUAGCACAGUUCGAGCAUAUACGACAAGCUGGGCUAUAUAUAGACAGUACGAUUCAAGUGGACAGUCGAUCUCUCACCGCAUAGAUAUAGAUCUAGCAUAUCUUUCUAUCUACUCCCUGUGCAGCAUAUACUGUGUGGUCUGUCAUAGGCCAGCCAGCCAGCCAUGAGCAUGCAUGCUGCUCUCCGGCCGUACUGAGACGAGACACAUUUACGUGUCGAUCGAGCCAUUAAUUUCUAUCUAUUCUAGGCCAAUGUAGAUGUAGUCCAUUUCCUCUUUUAGAGCAGUACUAUAUAGCUCACUCACUCAAUACGACAAAUUAAGCCUAGCUAGCUGCUGCACACUGCUCCUACAGUUACUUCAUUGCAUUUGCUGCGUCGCCACCAAUGGACGUCAGAAUAUGUUUGUCCAUCAGAGAGAUUCUUUGCUCCGUUUCUUGUCGCGACCUUCCUCUUCUUCCUCGAGGCAGGUUUAGGCCAACCUUCACUUGCGACCUUCCUUUCCUUCCUCGAUGUUCUGCCCGCUCCGUUUCAUAAUUCUCGUCGAAAUAUUAUAUGUAUCUAGAUAUUUUUUAAAUAGUUAUAUCAUUAAUAGUUAUAUCUAGUUUUGAGCGAAUGUGAAACAAAAAUUAUGUAAGGAAGGAAGAGUAGCUCGGCAAGAAGGCCAAAAACUUUCGUCGUGCAUGCAUGCAUGCGUGGUCAAUGGUCAUUGGUCAAUGUACAUGUUCCCGCGUGUACAUAUGCAUGCGUGCCCGCUGCGUACGUCAAGGGAGCUAGUCUUGCGAUCAUGUCAAUUUAAGCGGUGAUGUCAGGAUACAUUUAUGUCUAUGAUUUUUGCAUUCUUUUUUUAUGUAAUUUUGUUUGGUAUAUAAAAGUUUUGCCAAAAAGCUGUUAGGUCAUUUGACUACACAUCUUGUAGUGUCGCUUCGCCACUGGCACCGACCCCCUAAACUUAGCUUCAGCGCUGGCAUUGAACAAAAGGGACAUGUUUUGGUUAAAACUUUCCAUGCAAAGUUCAUUAAUUCUGCGCUCACGUUUCCGAAAGAGGUCAUCAGGGUUCUCGAAUUUUCACCAAGUAAGAGGUUAUUCAUCCAUCCACCCAAAUUAAGGCAACAUGGAUAGAUGAUAUAUCACCACAAAAAUCUUUGUGGGUAAGCUAGCUAGCGAUGUGGGGGUGGAGCAACUUGUUGGGUUUCCAUGGGAAAACCUUUAAUUUGCCCGGCAGCACACAGUUUCUUACUCAGCAACACAGCAAGUUGCCGGCUCAAGUUCCCAUCCAUAUCAUCAGCCAACCUCUUGCAACUUGCAGCCUUGUGUUCAUAUCAAAAGGACAACUAUAAAACACCCUUCCCCAUCAACCUUUAAAGAUCUAUCGAUCGAUGCAUGGUUCAAAGAAUAAAGCUUGCCACUUGCAGGUACUGUAUAAUACUAUACUAUAUACAGUAAAUUAAUAAUUAAUGUGAAUAUAUUUCUAGCUAGUUUCUGGUGAAUCGAUCUGCUCCAUGGAGCAUGCAGGUCAAUUCUGUCGUCCAUGGCGUCACGCAAUGAUCCAUGUAUCCAUCCGUGAAUAGAUAAGCAUAAAUAUUAUCGACAACAAUUUAAAGUCGGAAGGAGUAUUAAGAUGGGUGGGGUCUCACUCUCAUACUCAGCAUUAAGCAAGCAAGCAGCUCCGGCAAGCAGCAGAUCAGCAGAGCUGCUGCAGCUGCACUGUGGCUAUACGACAAGGUCGCCUAUAGUACAGUACGAUCUAUCUAUAUGUGGCAUCUGCUGUGUGGUCUGUCACAGCUAGCUUUAGCUGCCCGAUCGAUGUAGUCCAUUCAUGGCCAUGAUAAUGCCGAUUUCUGUACUGUGACGGGACAUGCAUAUUUACUCGUCGAGUUA